AUAUUUUGGUAUUCUGUGGCAAUCUUGAUAAAAGUAAAAGCUUCAAUUCGUAAAGCUUUUCCCCACAUGUGUGGUGAACAAAAUAAUGUAAAUAGAAAACAGCUGAUUUCUAUUCAAAUUAUUCGUUAAAAUGGACUGUUCUGCAACUAAACCCAAACACGAUAGAGCUACAUACGAGCAACUGGAGGCAUAUGUUUUAUUUUGCCAAGCACACCCAGAAAUGGGUACGGGAAAAACUGCCCAAAAACGCCUCAACAAAUGAAGGAGCUGUGGCAGCAGCUGGCAGAUGAGCUUAAUUSGUGCAGAGGACCAAUACGAAGUGCUGCAAAAUGGAAAGAGACGUUAGGCGUUUGGAAAAGCCAACUGCGCACUCGUGC